AUUGAACGCUGGCGGCAUGCCUUACACAUGCAAGUCGAACGGCAGCACGGGAGCAAUCCUGGUGGCGAGUGGCGAACGGGUGAGUAAUGUAUCGGAACGUGCCCAGUCGUGGGGGAUAACGCAACGAAAGCUGUGCUAAUACCGCAUACGAUCUAUGGAUGAAAGCAGGGGACCGCAAGGCCUUGCGCGAACGGAGCGGCCGAUGGCAGAUUAGGUAGUUGGUGGGAUAAAAGCUUACCAAGCCGACGAUCUGUAGCUGGUCUGAGAGGACGACCAGCCACACUGGGACUGAGACACGGCCCAGACUCCUACGGGAGGCAGCAGUGGGGAAUUUUGGACAAUGGGCGAAAGCCUGAUCCAGCCAUGCCGCGUGCAGGAUGAAGGCCUUCGGGUUGUAAACUGCUUUUGUACGGAACGAAAAGACUCUGGUUAAUACCUGGGGUCCAUGACGGUACCGUAAGAAUAAGCACCGGCUAACUACGUGCCAGCCGCCGCCGUAA
rnacentral:rRNA from 1 species